GACGAACGCUGGCGGCGUGCUUAACACAUGCAAGUCGAACGGUAAGGCCCUUCGGGGUACACGAGUGGCGAACGGGUGAGUAACACGUGGGUGAUCUGCCCUGCACUUCGGGAUAAGCCUGGGAAACUGGGCCUAAUACCGGAUAGGACUCCUGGCUCCAUGGUUGGGGGUGGAACGUUUUGGCGGUGUGGGAUGGGCCCGCGGCCGAUCAGCUUGUUGGUGGGGUAAUGGCCUACCAAGGCGACGACGGGUGGCCGGCCUGUGAGGGUGACGGGUCACACGGGGACUGAGAUACGGCCCAGACUCCUACGGGAGGCAGCAGUGGGGAAGAUUGCACAAUGGGGGCAAGCCUGAUGCAGCGACGCCGCGUGAGGGAUGACGGCCUUCGGGUUGUAAACCUCUUUCAGCUAUGACGAGGCGCAAGUGACGGUAGUAGCAGAAGAAGGACCGGCCAACUACGUGCCAGCCGCCGCCGUAA
rnacentral:rRNA from 1 species